GGAGGUGUUCGUGCCAGCCCCGGGGCCGAGAAAAGCGAUCUCACGAACUGCACCCGGAGAAGACUUCGUUCGACGCUCGAGGACCGGGGUUCGAUUCCCCGCAGCUCCACCA
rnacentral:tRNA from 1 species